UUUUAAUUUUCAGGAAAAGAAAUCCGCACGCGAUCACUCUCCCGGAAAGGGCGGGAACCAAAGUCUUCUGAUCAGCUUCUCAAAUACAUUCUGCGAAGGCUUCCUGUCGAAGAUUUCCGUCAAAGCUUCUCAGAGGUUCGAAUAAAAUCUUGCUUACGCUACUAAAUGCAUUGCGCUGCUUGGAGAUCAUUGCAGAUGGAGCAAAUCAGGUCGUAGAAGAUGUUCGUCAAGCGAUCGCCAGUGGCUAUAUUAUAUAUUUGGGUUCGGGUAAAUGCAACCUCGUGAACUGCUUUUGUGGCGAGCAACCAGGCGAGAUAGUAGAACUCUAAAAUCUACAACAGUAGAGACGUUCCGAAAUGUCACCAUACUGCCGUGUCGGUUUGAUCGAUUGAAAUAGGACAAACACAUUCCCUACAGAUGUACAUGCUUCAUCAACGAACUCACUAUGUCUGGUCAAGUCAAGUUGCAAUCUGUACCUUCAAAUUCGUUUUGAUUAACAGAGCUUACCAGCAACUCUUAGCAGUUCUGCCACUGAAGCAGCUGGUUGUACAGUGGCAUUGAUUGGGAAGCUGGAGCUGCAGUACGAAUCCAUCUUUUGUGAACGAAAUCUGUAAGAGGCUGAGCAUUCAGGGUGGUAGUGGGAGAUCUAAAAGAAGUCAGACUUACAAAACUUCUGGUGCGGCUAGUCCAGUGAACCACGAGGUUGGUCAUAUUCCCAAUCAGGGUAUCUAUCUGCAAUGAGGUAGUUGAAGCAUCCGGCACAAUGUACUGCAAACAGGGUAACCUGAGAUUGACAACAACAGAAAUAGUUGAAACGGAUAUCUUUCUCAAGCCUGAAGGAAAGGAGAAGUAGGAGGAUAAGUACUACAUCCACCGUAGAAUGAAAUGUUGAACAGCAGACUCAAUGACUGAAACGGUGCUGUUGAACACACAUCAAAGGCAAACCAAGUAGACAGGUGAUGAAGGCAAAGUCAAAUGGACAGAUCCAUGCCGAGUAAAUGACUAGAACGACCAGCCACAUCUCCCACGCCCUGAAUCAACACAAG